GCUGGGCAGGGUGGCUCAGGCCUGUAAUCCCAGCACCUCGGGAGGCUGAGGCAGGAGGAUGGCGAGUUCAAAGCCAGCCUCAGCAAUGGCGAGGCGCUGAGCCACUCAGUGAGACCCCGUCUCUA
rnacentral:sRNA from 1 species